UACGGAGGGUGCAAGCGUUAUCCGGAUUCACUGGGUUUAAAGGGUGCGUAGGCGGGCAUUUAAGUCCGUGGUGAAAUACCUGAGCUUAACUUGGGAACUGCCAUGGAUACUAUUUGUCUUGAAUGUUGUGGAGGUCAGCGGAAUAUGUCAUGUAGCGGUGAAAUGCUUAGAUAUGACAUAGAACACCUAUUGCGAAGGCAGCUGGCUACGCAAAUAUUGACGCUGAGGCACGAAAGCGUGGGGAUCAAACAGG
rnacentral:rRNA from 1 species